AUUGAACGCUGGCGGCAGGCUUAACACAUGCAAGUCGAGCGGAGAGAGGUAGCUUGCUACUGAUCUUAGCGGCGGACGGGUGAGUAAUGCUUAGGAAUCUGCCUAUUAGCGGGGGACAACAUUUCGAAAGGAAUGCUAAUACCGCAUACGUCCUACGGGGGAAAGCAGGGGAUCUUCGGACCUUGCGCUAAUAGAUGAGCCUAAGUCGGAUUAGCUAGUUGGUGGGGUAAAGGCCUACCAAGGCGACGAUCUGUAGCGGGUCUGAGAGGAUGAUCCGCCACACUGGGACUGAGACACGGCCCAGACUCCUACGGGAGGCAGCAGUGGGGAAUAUUGGACAAUGGGCGCAAGCCUGAUCCAGCCAUGCCGCGUGUGUGAAGAAGGCCUUAUGGUUGUAAAGCACUUUAAGCGAGGAGGAGGCUACUUUAGUUAAUACCUAGAGAUAGUGGACGUUACUCGCAGAAUAAGCACCGGCUAACUCUGUGCCAGCCGCCGCCGUAACAC
rnacentral:rRNA from 1 species